GACUGAAGUUUUUCAUUCAUUCCCCUCGAAAAACCACAAUAACUCGCAAACAUGAUCCCAACAAAAGAAGAAUGAGAUAAAGAAUAUAAUGUUGUGAUACAUCAAUGGAAUAAUAUUAUUUUCCUUGUACUUCAACUUUGCAGGUAGCUGCAAAUAUACAUAAAAUUAUGAGGUGUAUAUGCUUUGUUCUUCAAUGUCUAUACUAUAGUACCCAAAACUAGCUCAUGGGGGAAGCAUUUAAAGGAAUGACAAAACUUAGGAAUUGCUGAAAAUUCUUGAACAUAAUAAAAGAUAAAAUGCCAAGAUUUUUCAGUAUCAUCCUUUAUAUUAAGACCAAAGAAUGUUUUUUCUGAUUUUCUCAAUACACAAGAAUGUGUCCACAGCAUGCACAU